GACGAACGCUGGCGGCGUGCCUAAUACAUGCAAGUAGAACGCUGAAGGAGGAGCUUGCUUCUCUGGAUGAGUUGCGAACGGGUGAGUAACGCGUAGGUAACCUGCCUGGUAGCGGGGGAUAACUAUUGGAAACGAUAGCUAAUACCGCAUAAGAGUAGAUGUUGCAUGACAUUUGCUUAAAAGGUGCAAUUGCAUCACUACCAGAUGGACCUGCGCUGUAUUAGCUAGUUGGUGGGGUAACGGCUCACCAAGGCGACGAUACAUAGCCGACCUGAGAGGGUGAUCGGCCACACUGGGACUGAGACACGGCCCAGACUCCUACGGGAGGCAGCAGUAGGGAAUCUUCGGCAAUGGACGGAAGUCUGACCGAGCAACGCCGCGUGAGUGAAGAAGGUUUUCGGAUCGUAAAGCUCUGUUGUAAGAGAAGAACGAGUGUGAGAGUGGAAAGUUCACACUGUGACGGUAUCCUACCAGAAAGGGACGGCUAACUACGUG
rnacentral:rRNA from 1 species